AGGAAGGGGGAGCAUGGAGGGACACCAUGGGCAUGUAUGAACCAAGCCUGGAAGGAGCAUCUGCUGUCAUAUUUCAAACAAUACAGCUGAGUCAAGUGGUAAUACCUAAUGAUGAGGAAAGUUGGAGAAUGUGUGCUUUCUUGGGAAAUCACUUUUAAGUAUGAAUUUUGAAGGAUAAUUGACUACACCUGCCACAGCCCAAGAUUUGUAUCCAUAGGCAAGAGCCCAAGAUUCAUGAAACUCCAUCUUCAGAAUACUGGUUAAGCAAUGACAUUUGGAAACAUCAAGAACAUCAACUCUCCUAUAAUCCUCCUCUCUGAAAAAGUCUUGGCUAGGCCCAGCCCAGCUGACUGGAUUUGAGAGGCUGCCUCAGAAGGUAGAUGUGCCUCUUGCUUGCAUCUGUGAUGCAGGAUGCCUUAGCACAAACACCACUAGUGUUCCAAGAAGUGAUGCCAAAGGUCAGCUUGGAGAAAUGUGUCCAAAUGUGCUGUAAAACCAAAGAAACCUGAGACUCAAAGCCAAGACUGCCAAGAAUCCAGGCAAAGCUACACCAAGAAACAAUGGCAGGUGAAGGUCGUCCUCUUUUGAACAGUCCUAGGGACAGCUGUUGACAGCAAGAGUGUGACGAAUUCAGCCCGGACUCACCAAAUACUAAAAUGAUAACCGAGGGAAUCUGGACAGAAGACUGAUUUGGAGAGUACUACACAUGAUUUUAAUUUAUAUAUGUAAACUCUAUUCCAUU